rnacentral:tRNA from 1 species
UCCCUUGAGGACUAGUGGUUAAGCCAUGGCACGCUCACCGCCAUGAUCCAGGUUCGAUUCUCGUCCAGGGAA